UUUGCCCAUUGCUAUGAAAAACAAUUGAUUGAAACAUGGCAGUUUGACAGGCCAUAACUACCUUUUCACUGCAGCUUUUAAAUCUUUUAAAAUAUUAGAGAAUGUUUUAAACAAUAGAGUACGAUUAUUUUUAGACAAUGGCAGGUUCUGCUUUAAGGCGUCUUAUGGCUGAGUACCGCCAACUUACUUUAAAUCCCCCGGAAGGAAUUAUAGCAGGCCCCAUUAGCGAGGAAAAUUUUUUUGAAUGGGAAGCUCUUAUCACUGGACCCGAAGGAACCUGCUUCGAGGGUGGUGUAUUCACUGCAAAAUUAGUGUUCCCACCUGAUUAUCCAUUAAGCCCCCCAAAGAUGCGAUUCACCUGUGAAAUGUUUCAUCCAAAUAUUCCGCCACUGUUGUGGCCAAUCACCGACGCCCAGGGAGGCGACUCCACACCCAGGACCCUAACUCACGACCCGUUUAUUAACGGACCGGCGCCAACGGCUUUACUUCCUCAUGCGAUGGAAGGCGUGAUCCCAGAGAUUUUUCGCCUCAGAAAAUCUCCCGGUGUCGGCUAGGAUUGAAUCUAGACCAGUUGGGUUGGUUGUGAGUGGAUCACGCCACCUCACAACCAUCGACACCUAUGUCGGCGGUGGGAUUCGAACCCAGGCGUCGAGCGUGGUUGACGGAGACCUUACCAACCACACUAGGCCCCCGCUCUGAUCGAAUGUUUUUGCCGAUGGAAGAGUAUGUAUUUCAAUAUUGCACGCCCCUGGGGAUGAUCCAC